rnacentral:lncRNA from 1 species
CAACACUUUGCCACCUUGCUCCUCCUCCAAAGCAAAAGGUGUUGGGGAAAAAACAAAACAAAGCAUGGAGAAAAAAGGGAACACAAUCACAACACAAGAAUAUAAAGUGGAAGCUCCAAAACUGGAGAUAAAACCAUGGUUGUUGUCAAUAGACAACCAAAGAAUAACACUAUGUAAAAAUUAUUACAACACAUAAUAUACCCUCAACUAGCCCAGAC